AUUGAACGCUGGCGGCAGGCCUAACACAUGCAAGUCGAGCGGAGCGGCGGAAGGGUGAGUAUUGCCUAUGAAUCUGCCUGGUAGUGGGGGAUAACGUCCGGGAACGGGCGCUAAUACCGCAUACUCUCAGCUGAGCCUAGGUCGGAUUAGCUAGAUGGUGGGGUAAAGGCAUACCAAGGCGACGAUCCGUAACUGGUCUGAGAGGAUGAUCAGUCACACUGGAACUGAGACACGGUCCAGACUCCUACGGGAGGCAGCAGUGGGGAAUAUUGGACAAUGGGCGCAAGCCUGAUCCAGCCAUGCCGCGUGUGUGAAGAAGGUCUUCGGAUUGUAAAGCACUUUAAGUUGGGAGGCGUUACCAACAGAAUAAGCACCGGCUAACUUCGUGCCAGCAGCCGCGGUAAUUC
rnacentral:rRNA from 1 species